rnacentral:tRNA from 1 species
GGAGGUAUGACUCAAGUGGUAGGGUGCCAGCCUUGAGCUGAAAAGCUCAGAGCACAAGGCCCUGAGUUCAAGCCCCAGUAUCUCUC